ACACUGACGACGAGUCCCAAACAGGACGAAACAGCUGUCCGGUGU
rnacentral:hammerhead_ribozyme from 1 species